rnacentral:tRNA from 1 species
CGGGGUGUGGCUCAGCCCGGUAGAGCGCUACGUUCGGGACGUAGAGGUCGGAGGUUCGAAUCCUCUCACCCCGACCA